rnacentral:rRNA from 1 species
GACGAACGCUGGCGGCGUGCUUAACACAUGCAAGUCGAACGAUGAAGCCGGAGCUUGCUCCGGUGGAUUGGUGGCGAACGGGUGAGUAACACGUGAGCAAUCUGCCCUUGACUCUGGGAUAACUGCGGGAAACUGUAGCUAAUACCGGAUACGACACCUUGGGGCAUCCCAGGGUGUGGAAAGAAUUUCGGUCAAGGAUGAGCUCGCGGCCUAUCAGCUAGUUGGUGAGGUAAUGGCUCACCAAGGCGACGACGGGUAGCCGGCCUGAGAGGGUGACCGGCCACACUGGAACUGAGACACGGUCCAGACUCCUACGGGAGGCAGCAGUGGGGAAUAUUGCACAAUGGGCGAAAGCCUGGUGCAGCAACGCCGCGUGAGGGAUGAAGGCCUUCGGGUUGUAAACCUCUUUUAGCAGGGAAGAAGCGAAAGUGACGGUACCUGCAGAAAAAGCACCGGCUAACUACGUGCCAGCAGCCGCGGUAA